AUUGAACGCUGGCGGAAUGCUUUACACAUGCAAGUCGAACGGCAGCACGGGGGCAACCCUGGUGGCGAGUGGCGAACGGGUGAGUAACACAUCGGAACGUGCCCAGUCGUGGGGGGAUAACGUAGCGAAAGCUACGCUAAUACCGCAUACGAUCUCUGGAUGAAAGCGGGGGACCUGUAAGGGCCUCGCGCGAUUGGAGCGGCCGAUGGCAGAUUAGGUAGUUGGUGGGGUAAAGGCNCACCAAGCCGACGAUCUGUAGCUGGCCUGAGAGGACGACCAGCCACACUGGGACUGAGACACGGCCCAGACUCCUACGGGAGGCAGCAGUGGGGAAUUUUGGACAAUGGGCGCAAGCCUGAUCCAGCCAUUCCGCGUGCAGGAUGAAGGCCCUCGGGUUGUAAACUGCUUUUGUACGGAACGAAAGGUUCUCUCUAUACAGGGGGCUGAUGACGGUACCGUAAGAAGAAGCACCGGCUAACUACGUGCCAGCCGCCGCCGUAA
rnacentral:rRNA from 1 species